AGUGAACGCUGGCGGUAGGCCUAACACAUGCAAGUCGAACGGCAGCACAGUAAGAGCUUGCUCUUACGGGUGGCGAGUGGCGGACGGGUGAGGAAUACAUCGGAAUCUACUUUUUCGUGGGGGAUAACGUAGGGAAACUUGCGCUAAUACCGCAUACGACCUACGGGUGAAAGCAGGGGAUCUUCGGACCUUGCGCGAUUGAAUGAGCCGAUGUCGGAUUAGCUAGUUGGCGGGGUAAAGGCCCACCAAGGCGACGAUCCGUAGCUGGUCUGAGAGGAUGAUCAGCCACACUGGAACUGAGACACGGUCCAGACUCCUACGGGAGGCAGCAGUGGGGAAUAUUGGACAAUGGGCGCAAGCCUGAUCCAGCCAUACCGCGUGGGUGAAGAAGGCCUUCGGGUUGUAAAGCCCUUUUGUUGGGAGAGAAAAGCAGCAGGUUAAUACCCCGCUGUUCUGACGGUACCCAAAGAAUAAGCACCGGCUAACUUCGUG
rnacentral:rRNA from 1 species